GCGGCGCUAGUUUAUUUGCAAGAAACGAAGGUGGACAGAGCAUGUCGCGCCAGGUUUUUAAGUAAAUUUCAAGGAAACCACUUCAUUAAAAUGUCCUUGCAAGAUCGUAAUCCGUCACCACCUUUGGGAGAUGAGCUGAACAUCGACCCUGCGAUCCUGCAUGCGGACACCAUAGGGGACACAGUCUUCAGCAAGCGAUGGGUUUUUGCAACUCUCAUGAAACUUCUAAAGGAAGUAGAAAAGGAACCUGAGGGAAAGUCACCACAGGAGCUGGAUGCAGCAAAGGCUCAUGGGAUAGAUAUUGACGAGGGCCUGGAGACUGACUUGUGCAAGUUGUGGGACAUGACAGCCAAUCAGGAUGUUGCAAAAUUUCUCCACGAGUGGAAGUCAUUGGACAUCUUGACAAGUGUUAUUGAGCAGACCACAGCACCUCGGGCCACUGAGAUUUGCAUGGGUAUUCUGGCCAACAUGGCUUGCAGCGGAGACAUUGCGGAUUACAUCAGCCGUAGUGACAAGAUCAGGUCCUUGACGCUGGAAUUUCUUGGAAGCAGUGACACCCAGACCCUCAUUCAGACCACCAGGCUUCUCCUGACCUGUUUGUCCUGCAAGCUGGAGGACACUGUGGGAUUGUGGCUGCAAGAAAUCACAGAAGAGUUUUGCUCCAAGCUGUCCUUCGUCUUACAAAGCUCCACUAACAUCGAGCUCCUGUACAACGUGGGCUUCAUCAUAAGGACACUGUUCUCACUGGAUGAGACGCUGGUGCAGGAUUGGACAGACAGUGAGCAGAUUGUCAGCAUCAUCGAGGCCCUGAAGCAAGUCAAGUCUGAUGGGAAAUCAACAGCUGGCCAAUCACGAACCAUCUCCUUGCUUCUGAGCUGUUUAGAAAUCAUUGUUGCCGAUGAUGAUGGUAUGACCAAUCUUGUAUCAGCCAGUGACACUGUCCUGCCCCUGUUGACGGACUUCCUGUGGAGCUUCUGCGAGGAUGAAGUGGUGACCGUAGAGGGCAGCGAGGGUAGUCUGGCCUCCACCAUCUACAUUGUUGAGGUUGUCAUGGCAAAUAUGGAAGGCCUAAAUGACAUCGUGGACACCCUGAACAAGUAUCCCAAGCUUUUGAAAGGUGCUGUUGAAAUAUUUGCCUCCCUCUACUCACAGAAGGCAGCAACUAAAGAAAAUGCUCUUGCCGACCCAAAACAGGAUUUGCCAGGCAUAAGCAUGUCAGAGUCAAAUGAUCAAGAAACUCGCGACAAACAGUUGACAUCCUCAACAACUGGUGACUCUAGUAAUGGAGCGCAAACGAUCCCAGAGAGAGAGUCAGAUAGGGACAAAAAGGGUGAGUCGGACACAACAACAGGUGUUCAGCCGUCCAAGGCAAAUUCGGAGCAACUCGUAGACACUGAAGCUACUGCCACAUCGCCGGUAAGGCAGAGCUCCAAAUCCAACGAGGCACUGGUCGAGGGACAUGCUGACGCCAGUGACAACUCGAGUGGGGAUCACGACACAGUGGAUGAGAGUCAUGACAUUGAGCGGAAGGAGCUGUCUGACAAUCUAUUGUCCUUCUUUGUGUUCCUGUUGCGGGAGUCAGGGGGCGGUGCAUCCCAGUCGCAGGUCGCGAAGUUGCUGAGGGACGCCUGCGGCCACAAACACCGGUCGGUCGUGAGGCAAGGGAUGGCCCAGACCAAAGCGAAUCCUGAAAUACAACAACUUCUCGCAGCUACGCUUGGAGAAAACACAUGAAGCCGUAUAAUCUUGACGUCGAACGCCUUGCUUAUUUUAUUAACUUGUACAGUGCCACCUGUUAAUACAUUCAGAUUUCAAGAGGAGGACAUGCACUGUAUGCGCACACUUCUUCUGACAGUGCUUACAUUUACCAGGCGACAUCCUCGACAAAAGAAUAGUUCAACUUCACCCUGUUAUUCUUUCGCUUAUCAGUUGCUGUUCACUGCGGAAAAGACGUCACGUUUCCCUUACCCUACCGAGCGACUUAUUUGUGUGUUUUUUUCACAUUAGUCAUCAAUUCGUAAUUGGUCACCGUGUCUUACAUAAACGGGAGACACAAAAUUACUUUGCUUUUCUUACGCAUGUAGCCUGGUCGGUUAUAGGAAGUAAAAGGCACACAAAACAAGUUGGUAUCUACAAAAAAAGUACAUUUAUAUGAAACCAUUCAGAUGGUUUACUUUAACUACAAUAAAGUCCCUGGAUCAAAGAUACGAGUUUUUCAAAAAUAAAUUUACUUUUCAACCUAAAACAAUUGUUAAUGGGUCAUCUGUUACAAUUUCUACUGUGGUUACCACAGCGUGUUCUUAAACCUCCUUAUGAUGCAUGUAGUUAUUUACAAUAUCAUUUAUUUCAUGCGUGUUCCCAUGCACGUUAGUUUAACUUUCUGUUUCAACAUUACGCAUAAACAACCUUGAAUUCUCGUUGAAGUAUUAAACCUUUCCUUUUUUCGCAGCCA
rnacentral:misc_RNA from 1 species